rnacentral:rRNA from 1 species
GACGAACGCUGGCGGCGUGCCUAAUACAUGCAAGUUGAGCGAUGAAGAUUGGUGCUUGCACCAAUUUGAAGAGCAGCGAACGGGUGAGUAACGCGUGGGGAAUCUGCCUUUGAGCGGGGGACAACAUUUGGAAACGAAUGCUAAUACCGCAUAACAACUUUAAACAUAAGUUUUAAGUUUGAAAGAUGCAAUUGCAUCACUCAAAGAUGAUCCCGCGUUGUAUUAGCUAGUUGGUGAGGUAAAGGCUCACCAAGGCGAUGAUACAUAGCCGACCUGAGAGGGUGAUCGGCCACAUUGGGACUGAGACACGGCCCAAACUCCUACGGGAGGCAGCAGUAGGGAAUCUUCGGCAAUGGACGAAAGUCUGAACGAGCAACGCCGCGUGAGGGAAGAAGGUUUUCGGAUCGUAAAACUCUGUUGGUAGAGAAGAACGUUGGUGAGAGUGGAAAGCUCAUCAAGUGACGGUAACUACCCAGAAAGGGACGGCUAACUACGUG